CGUCUGACUGUUGAUUUUUCGCAACUCAUACAUUGACAGCCGUUGGAUCGUUCUGGACAAUUAAUAAAUCACCCCCCCCCCUCUCUCUCUGCACACAUUUUCAUUUUCCUGUACAGCUUCUCUCUCACCGAGAAAUUUCGUUAGUCACCGAGAAUUCGUUCGACGAUCUGCGUUUUGAUUAUGGAUUCGAGUGUUUUCGUUGAGCUAUCCGCUUCCGAUCUUCGAUUCCGAGAUGUGGUUUAAGACUCAUCCUUUCUUCGGUCAUGGGUGAAUUGUCUGGAAAUCGAAAGAUCCAUCGAGGCUCUUGAUGUUUGUUCUGAACCAUUAGUGCUCGGGCUUUGUACGUCUGAUCUAAAACGCUUGGUUAGAUCGGUGCAAUCAAUUCAGAUCUCGUGAUUCUUUAUGGAUUCAGAUCGGAUUUUGAUAUGAAGCUGUGAAGGAUUGCUAAAGUGUUUCUUUAUGCUUUUUUUGAUGGGCUUUCUUUUGUCAUCUUCUUGGUAUAAUAAAGAAGACAGUUUGUGUGUGUGUGUUUUCGGUGUAUACCAGAGGGGUAUAGCCUAGGCUAACAAAAAAAAAUGUGAGAUGUGGAAUGUUCUACUGGUUGUCAAUCGACCUUUGCCAUGUCAGGUGCGCUUGCUUGGCAGGUCAAAAAAACCCUAAUAAAAAGUUUGUUUUUUGUGUUUGAGGGGGAGAUGGUACGGGGUUUUGCCCGGCUCUCCCCUUAUUGUGUGUUGCGUCUUUUUUUUUCCCUUGAUUUUGUGCUCCCCAAUUCUCUCUCCAAUCCAAUCAGUUGUUCAUCGUGUCUUUAUUUGUCUCUCGAAUGGAUGAUUUUACAUCGAUUCGAACAAAUAGGGACAUCAACACGCCAACUGUUUGUAUUCAUCAGGCAAGCAAACGCAAGGAUGGGAUUAGCACAAGAGUGUUGCAGCAGAGUAAAGAUUCUUGAUUCCUGUGUGUGGCGGCUGGAGAGGAUGAAUUUUAGCGGCUUGAUCAUUUGAAGGAAUAAAUUCAGGCAUUGCAAUAAAGAAUUUUUUUUUGUCAUGUUGGUGCAGAGGAGACCGUACCUUCUUUUGUGGUGAACUCAAUUUUUUGUGCUAUUUCUUUAAUGCUGCAUAGUUUUUCUAGCUAAUGUGACAGAUUUUGGAUUGCAGUGGUUGUGACUUUGGGGUUGCGCAUGUCUAAUUCAAGUCUUGAUUCUUCAUGUGUAGAUUUUGUGGUGUUAACUUCAUUAUUUUUUUGGCAGAUGUUGGAGUCCGUUUUACUAGUAUUUCUUGAGGGGUGCGGCCACAAAUGCAUUGUAGGAAGUGUGCAGUUCAGCAUUGUGUAUCUGCUUGUGUUUGCCAUUUGUUGUAUUUACUUCAUAUGUUGUGCUGAUCCCCAGGAGGCUUGAGUUGGAAGUGUAAUUGGGUCGUCUCACGUGUGAGAUAGAUUUCUAGAGUUUGCUUCUGCACGCCAUGUUUGCUAAAGUGUUGCAAUACCACAGAAAGGUAUUUCUUUAUUCAAUAAGAAUUAGGAAUCUGUCUCGUAUUUGUAACUUGUUUUGGAAAAAAAUUUGCGUAGGUAUUUGUGAAGAGAAAAAGGGGUAGGUAAAGGUGAUAGUAAAAAAUUUUAGGUUCUACUUAAUUGGUUUUCUUUUUUUCUUUGGUAACUUCUGGUAGAAUUUUUUAAAUAUUAUGGGAGAUUAAAGUUGUAUUUUGAA